UCAGCUCUUUUCAGCCUCUGUCUGAAACGCUCUGUUUUAGCUCCUGUCUCUUUAAGGCCCCCCUCCCGAAAAAGCCCAGUCUGCUCUGAUUGGUUGGCAUUAUGACGCGGCUCACGUGGAUGACACUCCGGCCCCUCCCACUUCCGCCUCAGCAUUGCCAGCAGUUAGCUCCUCACUGCUACUGAGUUUAGCUGCAUUUCUACCGUCGAUAUUAAUUCUAUAACUGCUUCUAAACCGAAAACUUCACCACCGGACAUGUUAGAGCGGGAGUCUGACCUGAAAUCACGGAGAAAUGAACAACAUCAACAAUCAGGAUUACAGCUUUCUGUGACGUUUUCCUCAGGUACAGCAGUGAGCAGUGACCUACAGUCUACACAGCCCAGUGAAGUUAAACAUAUUAUAUGCCCGCAAUACUUUAUCCUGUAUGUUGUAUGUAUGUCAACAUAACUGAAGGAAUUACUCAUCUAAUAAAGUAACUUGUUUAUGUGGUUUAAAAACUGCGAAGUAACUAACUGUACUGUGUCCAUAUUUCAUAGUCUGAUAUUUUAACUUGAAAGUAUUACUACCAAAGUUAACCUUCAGAUAUGUGUAAAAGCUGCAAUUAUGUUUGAACCCCAUUAAAAAUACUGUAUAUAUACUGAAUAUUCUAUCAUUUAUAUUAUAUAUUGUCAUGUCAUUUAUCUUCCAACAUAAUAAAGUUUGAAUGUGA